GAGAGGGGUGGACCGGACUAGGCACAGCUCAGCCUCGUGCCCUCAUGCAGCCCCUCUGACCCUCCCGGCCCACAGCGCUUUCUCCCUGCUCACUCAGAGUGGGGCUCAGCCAGGGCUGCAGGCUGCAGAGGCAUCUGGGCCUGGAGUCCCUAAGACUUGGGAGGUGGUGGAGCCACAGAGGACCUGGACAAGGGGCCACGAGGCUGGGCUAGGGGCCGGGGCCCUGGCACAGACUUGGCCAGCGAGUGGGAGGUAUGCUGAGUCUGGGACUCUGAGACCACGAGGGGCAGGAGCAGAGGCCGGCACCUUCUGUCUUGGUUGCCUCCUCUCUGCCUAUGACGUUGCUGCUCAGUACGGAAGACCAGGAUGCCUGUCGAUCUCAGGGGCACUUUGGGGCCAAGAAAGGGGGUUUCUUCCAUUUGUUCCCAGGUAGGUUGUGGCAGGGCAGCUGCUUUAACACAUGUGACGGCGGAAAAUGGGCUUCGAACUCAGCCUCCAUCUGGAGUGGAGGUUCUUCCUCAGCUUCCCCUCCACAUGGCGAUUCAGGGACCCAGCUUCCUCCACAGAGCCUCUCCUGUGGCUCACAUUAGGGCUCC
rnacentral:lncRNA from 1 species